GAUAAACGCUGGCGGCGCACAUAAGACAUGCAAGUCGAACGGACUUAACCAUUAGUUUACUGAUGGAGCGGUUAGUGGCGGACUGGUGAGUAACACGUAAGCAAUCUGCCUAUCAGAGGGGAACAACAGUUAGAAAUGACUGCUAAUACCGCAUAUGCCUAAGUAACACAUGUUACAAUAGGGAAAGGAGCAAUCCGCUGAUAGAUGAGCUUGCGUCUGAUUAGAUAGUUGGUGGGGUAACGGCCUACCAAGUCGACGAUCAGUAGCCGGACUGAGAGGUUGAACGGCCACAUUGGGACUGAGAUACGGCCCAGACUCCUACGGGAGGCAGCAGUGGGGAAUAUUGGGCAAUGGGCGAAAGCCUGACCCAGCAACGCCGCGUGAAGGAAGAAGGUCUUCGGAUUGUAAACUCUUUUAUGAGGGCGAAAACAAUGACGGUACCUCAUGAAUAAGCCACGGCUAACUACGUG
rnacentral:rRNA from 1 species